rnacentral:rRNA from 2 species
UGGGGAAUAUUGCACAAUGGGGGAAACCCUGAUGCAGCAACGCCGCGUGAGCGAAGAAGUAUUUCGGUAUGUAAAGCUCUAUCAGCAGGGAAGAUAAUGACGGUACCUGACUAAGAAGCCCCGGCUAACUACGUGCCAGCAGCCGCGGUAAUACGUAGGGGGCAAGCGUUAUCCGGAUUUACUGGGUGUAAAGGGUGCGUAGGUGGCAUGGCAAGUCAGAAGUGAAAACCCGGGGCUCAACCCCGUGGAUUGCUUUUGAAACUGUCAGGCUGGAGUACAGGAGAGGUAAGCGGAAUUCCUAGUGUAGCGGUGAAAUGCGUAGAUAUUAGGAGGAACACCAGUGGCGAAGGCGGCUUACUGGACUGUAACUGACACUGAGGCACGAAAGCGUGGGGAGCAAACAGG